rnacentral:rRNA from 1 species
AAAGUUAAUACCUUUGCUCAUUGACGUUACCCGCAGAAGAAGCACCGGCUAACUCCGUGCCAGCAGCCGCGGUAAUACGGAGGGUGCAAGCGUUAAUCGGAAUUACUGGGCGUAAAGCGCACGCAGGCGGUUUGUUAAGUCAGAUGUGAAAUCCCCGGGCUCAACCUGGGAACUGCAUCUGAUACUGGCAAGCUUGAGUCUCGUAGAGGGGGGUAGAAUUCCAGGUGUAACGGUGAAAUGCGUACACAUCUGGAGGAAUACCGGUGCCCAAAGGGCC